rnacentral:rRNA from 1 species
UACGAAGGGGGCUAGCGUGGUUCGGAAUUACUGGGCGUAAAGCGCACGUAGGCGGGUUGUUAAGUCAGGGGUGAAAUCCUGGAGCUCAACUCCAGAACUGCCUUUGAUACUGGCAACCUAGAGACUGGAAGAGGUUAGUGGAAUUCCCAGUGUAGAGGUGAAAUUCGUAGAUAUUGGGAAGAACACCAGUGGCGAAGGCGACUACCUGGCCUGUUUCUUGACGCUGAGGCGCGAAAGCUAGGGGAGCAAACGGG